GCAGUUUCACAGACGCUCUUCUGUGAAGUUGAAGUAGCAGGAAACAGAUGGCCAAGGAGGACUCAAGGUAAUGUUUCUGUCACAUACCCACACCAGAGCAUGUCAGUCUUUUUGAGGAUUGAACAGAGUCUCCAUAGCAGACAGGACAUUAAAUUCGGUGACCGUGCUAUGAAAAUAUGCAAAGGUGUUAUUCAUGACUGCAUAGAUCCCAGAGGAACACCAGGGAAUAUUUAGGAGGUCUCACAAAUACUCACCUAAGGGAAGUCAGAACACCCUCUCUCAACCACAGCAUGGCAGAGAGCAAAGCCAGACCAAGCUCCAACACACUGAUGAUCAGCAUCACUGAAAGGGCUCCCUAAAUUCAGGAAAAGAGAGUGGGUGAAGAGGACAAACUAAAUCAACAAAGCUGGUUUCCGCCACUUCUCAUCCCUCUUGGGCACCGAUCCUGACUAUAAUGUUCACUGAAUGUGGGAACAGAAAGAAACUGUGACCCCCAGAUAAUGAAAGUUGAGCUAAGACCAGUCUGAAAGCUACAGUUACAGAGAGAGAAGAAGUAGAAGAAGAAAAGAAGAAGAAGAAGAAGAAGAAGAAGAAGAAGAAGAAGAAGAAGAAGAAGAAGAAGAAGAAGAAGAAGAAGAAGAAGAAAAGUUGGAUGGGUGGAGAGGAUCUAGGAAAUGGAGAAAGUGAAACCACAAUCAGAGUACAUUAUAUGAAUUUUCAGUAAGAAAUUAAGUGCUUUGACUUUAAAUAUAAAAUAACUACAAACAAAACAAACUAUGCUUCCCAGUUCUGCCCCCACCUCCCAGACUGUGCACCAUUUUGCAUCCUUGACUUGUUCUUCGGAAGAAGAAAGUGGUGGUAUAGGGAAAUGUAAAACCACCACAUCUCAAAUUUAGGAGUUAUUUCCCCAUAAUAUUAAACAGAACCCAGUGAGUUUAUAAUAAACACAUCAUAGGCAGGGAAAGCCUGAAUCCUUACAAGUUCCUGUGUCUAUGCACACAUUUUCACAUGAAAUUUGUCAAAUGUAGCUCCAACUUCACCUAGAACAAUUGCAUUGUCUUUAUUCAAUGGCAUUCACUGUCCAGUUACUUUGCUAGCCUUGAGUUAUUAAAGUCAACUUUUAUGCUUUCCAAUCCAUGCUAGGUACCACUCAAAUAUGUAACCCCAUUUGCCUGUUUUGAGUGUCUAAUGGUGCCAGUUUAAGAAUUAGCACUUCCCAUUUUAUCAUAUUUUAGUUCACAUGAUCUUGUAGGGUUUUUCUUCACCAAGCCAAUCCUUUAUGUUAAUAAAAUCACAAUUAGAAGAAAUUCAGAAUUAACAAUUUGAUGUACACGUGGAAGUAAUUUAUGCUUUGUAGAGCAACAUAAAAUCAUUGUUAAAUAAA
rnacentral:lncRNA from 1 species